UUGACCCAUGGAUUAACCCAAUAAACCUUCUGUUCAUUCUUUGGGUGUGGGUUCGGGUCGGCUAGUAUGAUUUUUGACUCUUCCCCGUAUCCUUCUGCAUACAACAAAUGGAUUUUUUUCUCAUGCAACAAAAAGAAUAGGAAAGAAGAAGAAGAAGAACGAAAAUCCCAUCUGAACAAACAAAUAUCACGACAGAGAGGGAGAGACGAAGAAAUGAAAGAAAAAACAGGUUUGAUGGAUACCGGCGGCAUUCAGUCGGAGAAUGCUGAGACAAGAUUAACAUUUUGUAAGCCUUUAAAUGAUGUGGCUAACAGGAAGUAUCGACGACGCCAUUCUCCUGUUAAUGGAUCUCCUUCUUUGGAUGGAAGUCCGAAGCAUGAUCGUAGCUCCAGUCCGGUAGUUCCGAGGGAGGAUGUUGCUAAAGCUUCACAGAGAAGGAAGGAUGAGGAAAAAGAACUGAACCGGGAUUCUGGGAGGAGUCGGUAUGAGAAGAAUAGAGAUUCUUGUAGCCAUUAUGAUGGUAAUUCUUCGAGGAGUUCUCAUGGGUAUUCUAGGAAUGAUGAUUAUAGUAGACGUGACAGGCGUGUGGAUGAUGGAGAAAGACAUUAUCAGGUGUCUUCCCCUUCUGAUAGGGAGUUGAAGGAUGGUGAGCAUGGUAGGUCAAGGGAUUAUGCGCGAAAUGUGGGGAAAUAUUAUUGUGACAGAUAUGAUAAUUCAGGGCAUAGAAGGAGGUAUAAAGAGAGAGAAUCAUCGGAGCAUCAGAAGUUGAAAGAUAAGGACUUUUCGCCUGAUAGAGUUGCAUCUGCUAGGAAAUAUACAAGCCCAGCUUCUGAAGAGAAGGAUAGGUAUCGGAACAGGCGGGACAGAGAUGUUCGUGAUGAGAGAAGAGAUCAUCACAGUUCUGGAGGUCAUAAAGGUGAUCGUUCUUCUUACUAUGAGGAAACCCGAUGGCAUCGAAAUGACUCUUCUGGAAGGGAUGGUGGACAUCGCCCUAGAGAACAUUAUAAGAAUGACCCUAAGGAAUUGAAUGGUCAGAACGAAAAGAAGAAACAUGAUAACAGGGAAAAUAGCAGGGAAAACAAUCGGUACAGUGAAGCAGCAGGGCAGACAAGUGAUGAUAAAUCUAUUUCUGGGAGUGAAAAUCAAGAAUCUCCUGCCAAAAAGCCAAAAUUGUUUAGCUCUAACAAGGACCCUGAUUACAAUGGAGAUGUUAAUGAAAGGCAGCCUUCAAGUUCAUUGCUGGCCCAGGAGGUUGAUAACAAGAUCAAUGAAGGACAAACACAUGCCAAUAGUUCAGAGGUUGCUAAGGACUUCGAUGCCGCAAAGGUUGCUGCUAUGAAAGCUGCUGAAUUAGCCUUCUUGAUGCAGGACAGAUGAAGAAAAUCAACAAAACAUGAUAAUUGAUGUGGGAUAGAAGAACAAAAUCACCAAUAAGAGACGCUCAAACUUGAACGGACCAAACCAAGAGAGACACAAUCUUGAAAAAACAAAACAAGAGAGACUCAAUCUUGAAAAAAACAAUGCUAGAGAGACAAACUCAAUUUUGAAGAAAACUUAGUUUAUUUUAUGCAAUAAUUCUACCUCCUUAUAACUAAUGUCUAGGUGUUUAUUUAUGUAUGCCAAGCCAAAUAAAAUAAGAAAACCUAGUAUAAAUUAGGAAAAUAUAACAAGUCUUAGUUUAGUAAGGAAGCUAAAAUCCUAAUUUAACUACUAAAUGAUAAAUACUAAUAUUCCUAAAUAAUAAAAUCCAGAAUAAUCAUACAAUAUUAAUACUCCUGAAUAAAGAAAAACCAAAUCCAACAGUUGCCCUCCAUUCUCCAUAACUUCCUUUUCCUUUUUCUCGAGAAUCAUGCCCUUUUACGAUUCUCUACUAGACUCUCACUGAUCAUGUUCACUAUAUUCAUUUAAACCAAGCGGGCCAGUAGAGCCUAAUGAAUGGAACAUUUGUUCAUUGGUGAGCUACAUUCAGAUUCAAACUUUCACAUGCUUUAUAUUUGAGAGGAAUAACAUGUUUUAUUGCCAUGGAAAGCAAGUGGAUGGGUCUAGCUCCAAUUGAUCGCCCAAGUUAACAGGAACCUAGUUGGCGGGGGCUUUAUGUCUACCGAGCAAAAGAAGAAGCUGCUUUGGGGGAAUAAAAAGA